GUGAGCCUCCCAUGGCUGUGCUGCACAGCCACAGCUGUUAAAGGGCAUUGGCAGGGCAGGCUGCAGCUGGGAGGGCAAAGCACCAACCCCAAGGACACCUGCUUUGGAUGGAUGGCACCUGAGAGCAAGGGAAUGGGGCCAGGGCUCUCAGAAAAUCUUCAGCUGGGACUGGACUCCAAGGAACUCUUUGGAAGAAGGAACAUUACCAAAUGCUUUCCUGUGCACACAUGCGGCUGAUCUCCCUCUCAGAUACAGUGGUCAAAGGUCAGAUAUAUGGAAAGCUGCACAUGCUGUACAACCAAAAAUGGUCUGAAUUAAAUAAUCCUGUAGCCAGCAGCAAUAAUUCAGUGCCCACAUUACAGCAGAUAACAUCAUUGCACACCCGUGGACCUGCACCAAGUUGUCACCUACGGAUGCCGUGGUUUCCUCAAGAGUUAAGGACUCUGGCUUACAGAACACAAGAUGCCAGCAUGUGAAAAGAAGCACAAAGCUUGUUGGGGUGCUGGGCAGAAGCAGGUCACCAGCACAUGAAGUCAUCGUGCUCUGUACUCUGAUCACCAGCCCCCUUUACCAUGGUGCAAUUUCCCAAGCCUCAGGAAUUUUCCAGACCUAUAAGAAUCAGAAUCUUGAAUUAAAAGCAUAGCUGCAAUUUGUUGGAUGGGAGGCAAUUAGGACUGUGGAAAGCAAGUAAGAUUAUCAAGUCACUGCAGCAGAGGACUGCUAUCACAACUGGAACUUUUCUCACAUAAUCACUCUUGGUAAGCACUGCAUAUGAAGAAACACAUUCUAAAAUUAGUACCUUUGGAGGCAAAUACAAUGAAAUUCUAUAUAUCCAGAAUCAAAAAUAUUGCCUGUAUUUAGGUAUUACGGUCUUUAUUAGAUUGUAAAUUUUUUGUUCCAUUUGCUCUUUUAUACUAUAAUUUAAAAAUUGGACAUAGUCAUGUUUGUCUAGUUCACGCCAAUAUGGCAGGACACAGAAAAGAAUUAAAUUGUAUUUAAUUUGCAUUAAAAAUUGCAUUUCUGCAAUACUUCAGACAAAAUAUUCCCAGGAAAACCAGUAAAUAUUUAUUAUAAUUCUUUUUUUAUAAAGUAUUAUUUCAUCUGGGUUAGCUGUAUAAUCUUGUUCUCCUAGGUUUGAAUUUAAACCAGGAACUAUUGGAGACAACAGUUUAUAGGGUGAGAAAGAGAUUAAAGAGCUUGUGUUACUAGAGGAGGUGAAGUUUAAUCUGAAACACAAAGUUCACAAGUUAUAGGGGGGGGGGAGAGGAAGCACACUGUAGAAGGUGGUGAAAAAAAAAAAUAAACAGAAAAGUACUAAGGAGUAAAUAACAGUUGAUCAAAAGAAUUAUGUGAAUAAGUUGACAGAACUGGCAUGAAAAGGUAUUAGAAGGAAAUGAGAAGAUUGCCAAUCCUCAGCACUUUCAAUAGAAAGCUUGGGAAAACUGAAGGAAUGGGAAACAGCCAACCAGCCUUGAGCCAGUAACUCAGCCAGAGCUGACACUGCCCCUCAGCAAUGCACCUGGGGCUGCCCACAUCCCUCCUGCUGCACCUUGACCAGUGUUGACAAAAGAAAGAUUGCUAAAAAAUCAGUUUAGGGCUCCUUAACAUAUUUGAUACAAAAAGCAGUAAGGACUUUUGAGUUGCCUCAAGUAAUACUCAUUGCUUUAGAGCUAUUUUUAUCACAAUUUUACAUUUUAAGAAACACUUUUGCAUUUGAUAACAGAGGAAAUCAUCACUUAGGUUGUUAAUAAGUGCUUGUUAACACUAUGCCCCACAGCCAACAUAAACACUUUCCUUUUCUGCAGAGAGACUUCUACAGAACCACUUAAGGCAACAACCUCAUGUAAUUCACAUAAAUGCAUCAAGCUCCAAUUUAAAAUUUUAAUUUUCUGCUCAAAUUACUUCAGCUGGGAGUCUGUUCCAAACAUCACUCUGACGAAUUUCAGCAUGCAAUUAUUCACACAAUAUUUAUUUAAAAAACCAUUAUUGUAGCCAUAUUGUCUUUGAGAUUAGGCCACUCUAUUCCUUGUUCCUUUGUUAACAAGGUGCAGUCAGUCCUGUCCCUUCCCUCUGUUGACUUGACCACACAAGCAAUAUUGCUGUCACCUCCUCUUACAAGAAGGACCUCAGUCAUGCUGACAGCCAUUUGUAUGUCCAUCCCUUUUUCAAAGAUUCUCUUCCAGCAAGACUCUCAUCUGUUUUUGUCCCUCCUUUCUUCAAAACCAUCCCUGCUUAGAUACAAUGGUUAACAACCUCUUAGAUAUUUGCUCAAUUUACAAGUAAUAGACAUGACAGAUCUCAGCAGAAACCUUAUAAAACUAUGACAGAAGAGUAGUUUUUGUAAGUAGUAUUAUUUACAACAAAUUCUGAUGAGAAACAAACAACUACAGAGCAUCAAAAUGAAAACCAACUCCCACUGAAGGAGUUUCAAUGGGAACCCCACAAAUCUAAGGAAAAAAAAUCCUGGCUUGACUGAAACCAAGAGAAAUGAAAAGAAAAAAACCCACCCACAUACCCAACUAGAAUAUUCAAGCUGCCUCCAAUAAAUUGGUUGGAAAUAUUGUGAUCCACAUCGGCCAAAACUUUGCUUCUUUUACUUGCUGAUGUUACCCGUCUUGACAAAACUAAUUCUGUAGAUAAAGCAUAUUUCUUCCUACAUUAUGUCUGUCUUUAAUGGUGGGAUAUUAAUUAACUUCACUCUAAAGGAAUUUGUAGAAACAGAAACACUACCUCCAUAAUUUGGUAGCAGAAACAACAGUGAUGAAAGGAAGCCAAGAAGAGAAAUAAAACUAGCAAUAAUGAGCUGAAAUCAAGGAAUAAGAAUUUUCCUGACACCUCAACUUUAAAAGUGCGUGCAUGUAUCAAAAACCCAAAUUAAAAAAAUCUCCUACUACAUAAGGGCUGCCAUACUCUGAUCAAUCAAAUUGGCCUCUUGACAUUUCAUACGCUUGUUUGUAAUAAACUUGCUCCCAAGCUAAUUGAAGGGACAUCUGUUGAAGUCACACAAUAAAAGCUAUUUUAAGUUUUUCCCUAAAAUCUAUUGCUUUGGAUGGGCAGGGGAGAAAUCAAUCCUUCCGUAAAGGGUAAAUUGUAUCAAAUCAUUUCCCUUUAGGAGAGCUGAACAGAAUAAAGGGACAGAAUAAGAAAGCUGGUCAGGCAAAAAUACAAGCGUCAGGGAGGACGGCAUCAUGUAUUUACAAAGGAGUUGCCUUUGGAUAGACAGAGAAGGAAAAGCUCCUCUCACUUUCCAACCCCUUACUACUUUCUCUGGCUGACAGAAGGGAUUCUGUGU